rnacentral:tRNA from 1 species
GGUAAGGUGGCUCAGUGGUAGAGUGCUUGCCUUUCAUGCAUGAGGCCCUGGGUUUGAUUCCCCAGCACCA